ensembl:lncRNA
GGCGAUCAGUUAAAUCACCUACUGCCUAGGAGCACUUGAUACCGUGACAUGACUCUAUGAAUAGUGGUAAUAACAUGAUGCACUUUAACCCUCACGCAGCCUUCGAGGGGGUCAGUCUGACCCCACGAGACAAACUAUGAAACUUUUGAUUCUUUUUACGUUUUUGGCCACAAGGCACCUACGCGUCGCAGGAUCCGCUGCGGCUCGGUCACCGCUCCCUUCUUCUUCGUCACAGGCCCGUCCCGCAUCCUCCCGGGGUCCGGCGCGACCCCGGCCCACGGAACCUUCCCGUCAGGCGUCCUGCCGGGGUCCGGCGCGACCCCAGCUCCCUGUACCUCCCCGUCAGGUGUCCUCCCGGGGUCAGGCGCGACCCCAGCCCCAUGUACCUCCCCGUCCCGCAUCCUCCCGGGUCAGGGCGCGACCCCAGCUCCCUGUACCUCCCCGUCAGGCGUCCUCCCGGGGUCCGGCGCGACCCCGGCCCCAUGUACCUCCCCGUCCCUCAUCCUGCCGUGGUCCGGCGCGACCCCGGCCCCCUGUACCUCCCCGUCAGGCGUUCUCCCGGGGUCAGGCGCGACCCCGGCCCCAUGUACCUCCCCGUCCCGCGUCCCCCCCGGGUCAGGCGCGACCCCAGCUCCCUGUACCUCCCCCGUCAGGCGUCCUCCCGGGGUCAGGCGCGACCCCGGCCCCCUGUACCUCCCCGUCCCGCCUCCUCCCGGGGUCAGGCGCGACCCCAGCUCCCUGUACCUCCCCGUCAGGCGUCCUCCCGGGGUCCGGCGCGACCCCGGCCCACGGAACCUCCUCGUCAGGCGUCCUGCCGGGGUCCGGCGCGACCCCAGCCCCAUGUACCUCCCCGUCCCGCGUCCUCCCCGGGGUCAGGCGCGACCCCCGGCCCCCUGACCUCCCCGUCCCCGCGUCCUCCCGGGGUCAGGCGCGACCCCGGCCCCCUGUACCUCCCGGUUCUCAGAGUAAUGGCUGUCUACAAGAAGACGCUGCAGACCAUCGCAGUCAUUUGAUCAGAGCGGAGGGCAGCCAAAGGCCUCAGUAUCUUGAGGAUUACAACAAAAAAAAGGCACAGUGUGACUGUUCCCUAUGAGCCGCCCCAGGUAUCACUGCCUCUCACUUCUGACCUUUCCCCUAACGUAGCAAUUAAAUGUUAUCAUUCUGUUGUGCCUCUCGUUCCGCUUUCACGGUUUGUCAUCCCUGAAAUUACCCGUGCACUAAACGACUACUAUCCUGCAUGUGUUUCAGCCGGGCUCAGAGAUCACCACAAUCCUGUUCAACUUCAUGUGCAACAGCUCCUGCAUGGGAGGCAUGAACCGCGGACCCAUCCUCACCAUCCUGACCCUUGAGACUUCAGAGUACGUAUGGUUUCAUCUACCAGGAUUGGUGUGAGCUGAAAUGUAUUUGCUGGAUAAAGAGUAGUGUUACAUGGAAACCGAGGGUCGACGUGGUGUAACUUGAUCUCCUGCUUUAUCUAUUUGCCUGUUUUAUGUUUAUUUGUUUCUAAAUGUAACUUGAAGUUGAAGUUGUGCAUCACUGUUAUCCCACCUCAAAGAUAGCUUUUGCACCCUUAGUAAAUGUUUUUCUACUGUCUUUUAGCGGACAACUUUUGGGCCGAAGAUGCUUCGAGGUGCGUGUCUGCGCGUGUCCCGGCAGGGAUCGUAAAACAGAGGAGGCAAAUAGUGCCAAACUGCAGACAGGGGCCAAACAAGUGAAGAAAAGAAGUAUGUGUUUGUUUAUUAAUGCUGGGUUUGUCUUUGAACCUUGGCUGUCUUCUAUCUUACGGAUCACGUUUUGCUUUUCUAGAAAGUGCCCCAGCAACAGAUCCUGAUAUGUGCAAAAGGAAGUCUGGCUCAAGCACAGACGAGGAGGAAGUAUUUAUGUUGCCAGUUAGUACACACACAAAGUAUUUAAAAAAUCUAGUGUUGUCACAGAAUUGCAGCUCUCAAUUUAAAUCCUUUUUUUUUCUGCAGGUUAAAGGCCGUGAGCGCUAUAACAUGUUAAAAAAGAUAAAUGAUGCAUUAGAACUGGCUGAAAAAGAGGCGUAAGUAUCUUUAAACUACAACACACACACACACACACACACACACACACACACACACACACACCGAAACUGUGAUCGGAUGUCACUUUGAUAAACAUUAGCUGCUACGGAACAGCUGCAUGAGACUUUCAGCAUUGCAUAGCUGUAGCGUUAAAUACUUUUCCCUUAAACCAGACGUGUCCCAUCUCUGUUCUGCAUGGUCACUGUUUGUUUCCUCUCUCCACAGUAAAAACAAAACUGGGCUUCUAAGGAACUGCUGCCGUCCAGUGGAAAGCGCGUCUUGCAAACAGCAGAACGAAGCGACAGCGACUAGUUGCAAUCUGCCUUCUUUUAACCGCCAUGUACGAGUACGAACAUCUACGAUCAUGACUAUGAAUCAUUGUUUACCUCCCUUUGAUGUUUCUACAUUAAUUCCUGCCAUCAGUCUGAGGGCAUACGUUGAGCAGUAACGUAUUAACAAUUCAGUGGGCCUUUACUAUUUUUAACUACAAAGCCCUUUAAAUAGUUUUUUUUAUCUCCUGCAGGUUAUGUUCAGUGUUGCUUCCUGGCCAACAUCCCUCAGCAGGAGGCUGCACGAUCAUCGAGUUCAGAUGAACUGUGCGACCCCAGCCCCCCUGUACCUCCCCGUCCCUCGUCCUGCCGGGGUCCGGCGCGACCCCAGCCCACGGAACUUCCCCGUCCCUCGUCCUGCCGGGGUCCGGCGCGACCCCUGCCCACGGAACCUCCCCGUCCCUCGUCCUGCCGGGGUCCGGCGCGACCCCAGCCCCCUGUACCUCCCCGUCCCGCAUCCUCCCGGGGUCAGGCGCUACCCCCAGCCCCCUGUACCUACCCGUCAGGCGUCUUGCCGGGGUCCGGCGCGACCCCAUUUUUUUUGUUUUUUAUUUUUCCUUCUCCUUUCCUCCCCUUUACCUCCACCCGUGCCACAGGCCCACUGAUGAUGAACAUGAUGAUGAUGACGACGAACAUGAUGAUGAUGAUGAUGAUGAUGAUGAUGAUGAUGAUGCAAGCAGACAGCUGCGUGCAAGGGCUGACCAUUUUAAAACGAAAAAUAAAACAGACCAAACAGGCA